rnacentral:rRNA from 1 species
AUACGGGGGAUGCGAGCGUUAUCCGGAUUUAUUGGGUUUAAAGGGAGCGUAGGUGGGAUAUUAAGUCAGCUGUGAAAGUUUGGGGCUCAACCUUAAAAUUGCAGUUGAUACUGGUUUCCUUGAGUACGGUACAGGUGGGCGGAAUUCGUGGUGUAGCGGUGAAAUGCUUAGAUAUCACGAAGAACUCCGAUCGCGAAGGCAGCUCACCGGGCCGGAACUGACACUGAUGCUAGAAAGUGCGGGUAUCAAACAGGAUUAGAUACCCUGGUAGUCCGCACAGUAAACGAUGAAUACUCGCUGUUUGCGAUACACUGUAAGCGGCCAAGCGAAAGCGUUAAGUAUUCCACCUGGGGAGUACGCCGGCAACGGUGAAACUCAAAGGAAUUGACGGGG